rnacentral:lncRNA from 1 species
GUCUAAUCAUUUCCAUGGGAAUUUGAUAGAAGUCGUGUUAAACAUGUGAGCUCUUGAUGUAUAUAGUUCAGUUAUUUGAUUCUGAAUGCAAUAUUUAUUGAGUUGUUUGUUUCCAAUUUAAUUGUAGUUGAUUUACAAUCUUGAGUUAGUUUCAGGUGUACAUCAAAGUGAUUCAUCUAUACAUAUUUUUUCAUAUUCUUUUCCAUUACAGGUCAUUACAAGAUUUUGAAUAUAGUUCCCCGCAUAGACAGUAAAUUCUUGUUUAUCUAUUAUAUAUAGAGUAGUAUGUAGAUGUUAAUCUCAAACUCUCGAUCUAUCCCCUCCUUCCCUUUGGUAACCAUGACUGUUUUCUGUCUAUGGUCUAUUUCUCUUUUGUAAAUAAGUUCAUUUGAAUCAUUUUUUUAGGCCCCAUAUGUAAGUGCUAUCAUAUAAAAUCAUAAUUCAUUGACCAUUUCUUGCCUUUCAAUUUGCAGAUGAACCUAGUCACUUAAAAAUGAAUUAUUUCUGCCUGUCAUAAAAUAUUGAAAUUUAUGAAAUUACAUAAAAUUACAGUAGUUUUGUUCCUAUAUCUUUGCUAGUGUACCCAACUGAUUAUUCUUCCAUACAAACUACAGAAUAAUUGUGUCAACUUUCAAUAAAUCCAGCUGGUAUUGUUGAAUUCAAUACAUAGAUUAAUUUUGGAAGCAUGAGCUCCUUUCCUAUAUUGACUUUUCCAAUCCAUUAAUACAGUACAUCUUUUAUUUUGUUCCUCCCCACAGGAAUCCUGCCCAUUUUUUUAUUAAGUUUAAUCUUGUAUUUUUACUUUUGUUGUGAGUAUAUAUUUCAACCAACUUGUUCUCAAGUUUGAGCAUCAGAACUACCUGGAGAGCUUUUCAAAAAUACAAAUGCCCAGGUCCUACCCUUAUAGAUUCUAAUUCUGAAUGAGGAGUGAAUUGCGACCACAUUCUUUUUGUAAUGUUGAUCCACAGCCAGGACUGAGGAUGCUUGGAAAAUACAGGAAUGUAGCAACUAAUUUUAAUAACUUAGUGCUUUCUUUCUUGGCUUUUCCAUAUUUUUUUUUUCAAAUAUAGAUAGUAUUUUAUCUAAUUUUCAUUUCUGUAUUUUUACCCUCAUAUUAGUUGUAGUGUUAAUUAAACUGUCUUUUAAGCAUCAGUUUCUUUCUUACAUCAUAUUUUAUCUUAUGGAUAAAUGUAGCAUAAUUCACUUAACUGACUUCUAUACUUUUCCCCAUUUUCUGUUAUGACUGUACAAUGGUAUUUCUAUUUGAGGUAACAAAAAAAGGUACAUGUCCCAGAAUCCUAAGUAUUUCAUUAUUUUUCGCUAAAAUGUUCUAGAAUAGGUACCUGUGUCAAAUUCAGACUCUCUACCAUUUGACACUGUCAAAAUAAGGUAAUAUCACAGUAAAUGAAAUUGUAGUCUAAAUCUUUAGUUUUACUUCCUAAAAACCAUACCAGUGGUUACAUACACUGAAUGGAAUCAUCCUUGUUGCUAAAAUGAAUUAGAAACUCUGAUAUGACUGAAUAUUUGUGGAAAUACCAUAGACAUCACCCCUUAAAAUUUGUAACAAAAUCAUAUAAAUAUUGUGCUAUGAAAUCUAGUGGAAAGGCUUCUGGGCUGAAAUGAAUUUAUAAAUAAUGGUAUAUCCAUACAAAAGAAAAUGUUAUAGUGCAGUUAUAACACAUGAACUUGAAGUAUAUGUACCAACAUAGAUAAACAUCAAAAAUAUAAUCGUGAUUAAAAUCAAGUGGCAAAAUGACACUUACUGUUCAAUUCAUAUGUGGAUUUUCCAUUCCAGAACAGGGUUAUGUAUUGUGCAGGAGCUAAUACAUACAAAUUUGAAAUAUAAAAGAAUAUAGAGAAAUUAUGAAAACUCAUUAUGGAAAUGGCUGCCUCUGAGGAGAGAAGAAGAAUGAGAACAUGAAGGAGUAUAUAUGGAACUUCAUCUAUAUCCGAACUAUUUAUCCUUUUUAAGAAAGAAAAAUAUAACCUAAACUGGUAAGAUAUUAUGAUGUAAUAAUUAGGAUUAUAAACCUGUAAGACAUUAGGUACUAGGUGAUAAUUUUAUGAGUAUUUAUGUUAAUAUCUCUGUACUUUGGUAUUUUUUAAUAUUUUGAAAAAUCACUAGAAUAAUAAUUCAGAGCACUGAAUUCUAAUAUGACUUUUAAUAAUUCUAUUCAGUCUGAAACACACUGCUUAUCUGCUCUGUUCUCCAAUUCCGUUGUCAAUAAAAUGUAAAUGUUAAUAUUUGUUCUUCCUCACUUUGCAGAAAUGGUAACUGGCUAAAAGGAACAAUGACUAUAAAACACAUCAAGUUUUAUGUAGAAUUAAAACAUUUAAAUCAAGAAAAAUAUUCUCUCCCUCUUAUAAAGAACCACUCAUCUGCAAGAGCAGGAAAAAAAUCAAUUGAAGGCCACCAAAGUCAAAAGUAAUUCUAUUUAGCUUUUUUGUUGUCCUCUUUGUUAAACACGGUGAAAUAAAUAUUCUACUUAUUGACAUUUUUUAAUUAGUAAGAAACAUUAAAUGGUAUCCGAUAACUACAACAAAUAAAUAAAUGGUCACAUGAGAGAGAGGAAGGUGAUGAAAUGGAAUAGGAAGGUGAAAAAAGAGCAACAGGGAAAAAGGGACACACAGAAGAAUAGUGAGACAUUCAUCCAGAAAGAGGAAAUAUGCAGAGGAGUUCCCUGGUGGCUCAGUGGGUUAAGGACCCAGCAUUGUCACUGCUGUGGCUCUGGUUACUGCUCUGCCUAGGAACUUCCAGAUGCUAUGGGUGCAGACAAAAAAGUGGGGGGUGCAGCAUGCAGAGAAGGGUCAACCGUACACAUAUACAGCAGGAUCUAGAAACAACAAGCAUUGAGAAAGCAUGCAAAGGAGCUCUUGGUUAUGAAGGAGACAAAAUUGUAAUCACAGUAAAUGUUGCUCUGCAGCUUAAACAAGGCUUACAUGAUAACCUCUCUAUUCUGUACAUGGCAUCCCAUCACAGCCCCAGGCCCCAGGACCAGCCUAGCUUGAAGGAGGAAGAUUAAGCAGUUUUCAUGGCUGGGAUUCAAUACCAGUCACUGGUCAAGAUGGCUCCAGCUUUAUUUUUUCUUCAAUUUAAUCCCUUCUUACUGGCACCAUUUGUUUAACAACACAGUUCAGCCUCUGACACUUCUUGAGUCCAUAUUAUGAUAACCUGUCUGUUUUUACUGCCAACUAUCAUUCAUCUGAACUCCCCAUUUCCGCUUCCUAUUCACCUGUUAGAAUUUAAUAACACUUUGUCUUGGUCUCCAACCAUAGGAUGAUCUGCUUACUUGGAAGAUGUUGCUCUACUAUCUAGACAUUAAACUUACUUGCCAAACUGAUCAUUCUAUUUGCAUCUUCAGCUUGGGUUACUCCCUGAACUAAUAUGUGGGUCUGAUUCUAGGCUCUUGUCUCCCCAGCCUUGACCAGAUUUGUCCUGAGGUAAGAGAGAACACACCUAGACCUUCAUAAAGUAGAAACUUGGGACCUUUACAUAGGGUGACAAUUCAUCCUAAUUUAUCCAAGACCGUUCCAGGGUAAUAAUUAAUAUUCUUUCAUUCUUGGAAGUGUCCUGGCUUGGACAACAAAUUACAUGGUCAUCCUUAGGCUUUUGCCAAGAAAGAUUUCUAAAUCCAUAUUUCAUUUUUAUAGCUAUAGUUAGAAGCAGGAUAUCAAUUUUCAACUGUAUUUGAAUAGCAGAUUAAUCAAUCUAGAUGCAGAGGGUGACCAUAGACCAAGGAUUUAUUGCCCUUGUUUAAAAAUUAUAUAAGAAGAUAUAGGCCACUAAAAGAGGUCAAAGGCAGUAGAAAUUACUGUAGUCAGGAUGAAGAAUUACUAGGAAAAAAUGAGUAAAUAUAGAAGAAACAACAGAACUAGGAAGCAAAUUAUAAGCUGUAUAUGACUCUGGCAGAGCCUCAAACAUGCUUAUUUCAUCUAUUAGCCCUGAAUCAAGAGCUCGUCCCUUUCUAUUGACAAAUGACUCCCAGAUCCCAGAAAAAUCUCACUCACUCAGGUAUUUUGGGGAAUCCCAUAGGGUGUCUUAUCUGACCUUACAUCAGUUCUGUCUGCCUUGAUCUGCUCCAGGACAAAAGCCUACUCUGGGCUAUUUGGAGGUAGCCUCCCGCCCACUACCAGCAUGUGGUACCGACUUGACAACAUUCAUAUUCCUCCCAAAAGCAGUAUCUCCCAAUAACCUUAAGGCUGCAAACACCAUUCUCCAAAGUGUUGCGGUGUCCUCCAGAUUCCUCUACAUGCUCAAGAUACAGUGAGCAAGCAAAUUUGUGGAAAACAUUCCUUUUCACCAUGCUUCUUUUGACAAAUAUUUACUGUGAUAACACUAUGCUGAUCAUGAGGGCUAUUACGGGGUGCAAAAAUGGAGGUGGUAACUGCUUACAACGAGUUUACCAUUCAGUGAGAAGAAUAUCUACCACUUAUUGAGGUUGAGAGUAUGGCAGGAACUAUGCUAAAUAUUGCAUCUGUGUUUUAUCCUUUACUAUCACAAGACCAGGAAGUAGACAUUUUUAUUAUCACCACUUUGUAGGAUGAUGGAGAAGCCUGAAUAGUGGUCACUCAAAAUGUUCAGAUCCUAAUCCCUGGAACCCACAAUUGCUACCUUAUAAAGGAAAAGAGUCUUUGCAGAGUGCUUAAAUUGAGGAUCUUGACUGGGGAGAUUAUCCUAGGUUAUCUAGAGGCAGAGA